AUUGAACGCUGGCGGCAUGCUUUACACAUGCAAGUCGAACGGCAGCGCGGGCUUCGGCCUGGCGGCGAGUGGCGAACGGGUGAGUAAUACAUCGGAACGUGCCCAGUAGUGGGGGAUAGCUCGGCGAAAGCCGGAUUAAUACCGCAUACGACCUGAGGGUGAAAGCGGGGGAUCUUCGGACCUCGCGCUAUUGGAGCGGCCGAUGGCAGAUUAGCUAGUUGGUGGGGUAAAGGCCUACCAAGGCGACGAUCUGUAGCUGGUCUGAGAGGACGACCAGCCACACUGGGACUGAGACACGGCCCAGACUCCUACGGGAGGCAGCAGUGGGGAAUUUUGGACAAUGGGCGAAAGCCUGAUCCAGCAAUGCCGCGUGUGUGAUGAAGGCCUUCGGGUUGUAAAGCACUUUUGGCGGGAACGAAAAGGACUGUGCCAAUACCACGGUUCGAUGACGGUACCCGAAGAAUAAGCUCCGGCUAACUACGUG
rnacentral:rRNA from 1 species